CUAGCACGAGAGAACUUAUCAGACUCUCGAGAAGACCUCGAUGACUCGGAGGCGGAGCUAACUUACAAGACUCCUAUAGAGCCCGAGUUGUUCGAGAAGCGGGGGGAGGCCCUUAGAGAACCUUCGGAGGGAUAACUAAUCAGACUCUCAAAAGGCCAUCGAGAGUGCAAGAUGGCACAGGCACAAGCUCGCCGCUGGCACACAUUGCCUCUCGUGCGAAGACGAGAAGUGCUAGAUGCCG
rnacentral:lncRNA from 1 species